UACGUAGGGUGCGAGCGUUGUCCGGAAUUAUUGGGCGUAAAGGGCUCGUAGGCGGUUUGUCGCGUCGGGAGUGAAAAUCCAGGGCUUAACUCUGGACUGGCUUCCGAUACGGGCAGACUAGAGGUAUGCAGGGGAGAACGGAAUUCCUGGUGUAGCGGUGAAAUGCGCAGAUAUCAGGAGGAACACCGGUGGCGAAGGCGGUUCUCUGGGCAUUACCUGACGCUGAGGAGCAAAAGUGUGGGGAGCGAACAGG
rnacentral:rRNA from 1 species